UACGUAGGGUGCAAGCGUUAAUCGGAAUUACUGGGCGUAAAGCGUGCGCAGGCGGUUCGGAAAGAAAGAUGUGAAAUCCCAGGGCUUAACCUUGGAACUGCAUUUUUAACUGCCGGGCUAGAGUAUGUCAGAGGGGGGUAGAAUUCCACGUGUAGCAGUGAAAUGCGUAGAGAUGUGGAGGAAUACCGAUGGCGAAGGCAGCCCCCUGGGUUAACACUGACGCUCAGGCACGAAAGCGUGGGGAGCAAACAGG
rnacentral:rRNA from 1 species